GCCAGGGAUGAGAUCACCUCCUUGCACCUAAUCAACCACCAUAAUAUCACGCUUGUCAGAUAAAUUUUGAAUAUAUAACCAGAUAAAUUUAGAGAAUAAAAGAUACUUCUAUUAUCAAUAACCAACAACCGACAAAAAUCACCCAAAUCUACAGUAAUCUAAUAAAGCCUUCUAAAUAAAGUACCAAAACUAAAUACUAAUAAGAUGUCAAGAUAUGCCCCCG
rnacentral:lncRNA from 1 species